rnacentral:ncRNA from 23 species
GUAUCCACCAGUAGAACCCUUCGUUGCCCGAAUGCUGGCAGGAACUGUUGGCAGAACGGCAACAUUUUUUUU